UUUAUGGAGAGUUUGAUCCUGGCUCAGGAUGAACGCUGGCGGCGUGCCUAAUACAUGCAAGUCGAGCGAACAGACGAGGAGCUUGCUCCUCUGACGUUAGCGGCGGACGGGUGAGUAACACGUGGAUAACCUACCUAUAAGACUGGGAUAACUUCGGGAAACCGGAGCUAAUACCGGAUAAUAUAUUGAACCGCAUGGUUCAAUAGUGAAAGACGGUUUUGCUGUCACUUAUAGAUGGAUCCGCGCCGCAUUAGCUAGUUGGUAAGGUAACAGCUUACCAAGGCAACGAUGCGUAGCCGACCUGAGAGGGUGAUCGGCCACACUGGAACUGAGACACGGUCCAGACUCCUACGGGAGGCAGCAGUAGGGAAUCUUCCGCAAUGGGCGAAAGCCUGACGGAGCAACGCCGCGUGAGUGAUGAAGGUCUUCGGAUCGUAAAGCUCUGUUAUUGGGGAAGAACGAAUGUGUAAGUAACUAUGC
rnacentral:rRNA from 1 species